GUAGGCGGCUGCCCUGCGGACCGAGCAGUAACGACUGAGGCUUCCAGAAGUUCCCGUUACGCCGCGAGUAACGGUCGCUCCGAAUUCCGAACCUUCGCCCUAGGGAAGAUGAGACGGUCGCCAGUUUCUCAGGCUCUUCGUCCGGGGCCUCGACAUUCCCUUACCUGCUUCCCCUAAGGAGAGUGACGAGCUAGGCCUGCUCUCCGCCCUUCUCUUUGGGGCUCUCUACGAGCCUCUGUAUACUGUCCAGGUGACAGGGGUGACAAGAGAGACAGUGCUUACUUAUUAUUGUUGUUGUUGAGAGACAUUACUCAUUUAUUAUUGUUGUUGUUACCAUUAUUAUUAUUUGAAAUCUCCUCUGCCCUAGAAUUGAGCUUCUUGAGAGUAAGAACUCCGGUUCGUCGUCGUCACCCACCGCUUACCGCAGUGCCGAGGGUUCGCCAGGCGCUAGCAGUUUGCUGAAGAGAGUGGGUGUUUAUAGUGAAAAGAGAAGUGAGUUGGAAAUUAGAAAACCUGGCUUCGCGCGCCUCCCUCGCCAUCUGCCGCCUGGCGCGGCGCCUCUUGAGGUCUCCCCGCCUAGGCCGAGGCUCUGCUCGCCGUUCUGGAAGGUGUUGAGAAGAGUGUAGCGGUAAGAGGAUAGUGUCUGGACCUAAACCCCUUGUGAGCCGUGAAGGUUGUCUGGCUCAUCUCUCCCUAUGACUUCGAAUUUUCUCAAGCUGGGUGUGGUCUGCAUCUUUCGCGUUCCCUCCUCUAACCCCUCCAUGGUCAGAAGAGACAGUGCAAGCUACAGUGUGUACACUGAAGGUGAUGUUCUCUCUUCUCAAUAGUUCCUAAAAGGAGGGAUUUCAGUUAUGAAAGGUGAAGAGAAAGCCUGAGGAUACCUAGCAUCUUAAAUCAAGUCCUCUGUAACCAGGAUAUAGUUCAACAUUUUCCUGAGACACCAUUUCUCUCUACAUAGGACCUGACUUGAUAUUUGAGAAAAGCUCAACUAUGGAAUGAAAAAGCAGGAAUGAAUGGCCUCCAAAUCUUAAUUUUUUUGUCAGUUGCUACUCCUCUUGAUUGAGGGAUACUAGCCUUUGCAUAGCUGUUGUGAAAGAGGAGAUGACCAGAAGAAAUUCACCUUCCGGUGGCAGCUGCCACCAACACACAGAAGCACUCACUCAAGAUGGCUUAAAGGAGACAGUGACUCAAUGUACGACUAGAAAAUUGAGCAA